CACAGAAAUUCUAGUUUCCUCCAGGGUGGGUGCGGAGAGGGCCUGGGGUUGGCUCAGGGAGGGGGAUGCAGAACUAGGUCCAGAGAAAAAGGUGAGGUUAGAACCGGGCCUCUGGACGGAACUGUGGGCGAGGGGAGGGGCCCGUACUCGGGGGUGAUUUAGAGGUGGGACCUGGCCUAGCCCGCGGUUCAGGUGGCGGGUCGGGCUGGAAGGGCGGGGAUGAAGGAUGGGACGCAUCUCUGGGGAUGCUCCUCCAAAGCUUUUAUUGGGCUAGUGCAGUGGCUCCCGCCUGUAAUUCCUGCACUUUGGGAGGCUAAGAGCCUCACUCUGUCACCAGGCUGGAGUGCUGUGGCGCAGUAUCAGCUCACUGUAACCUCCGCCUCCCAGGUUCAAGAGAUUCACCUACCUCAGCCCCCAAGUAGCUGGGACUACAGGCUGGAGUGCAAUGGUGCGAUCUCGGCUCACUGCAACCUCUGCCUCCCAGGUUCAAAUGAUUCUCCUGCCUCAGCCUCCCGAGUAGCUGGCAUUACAGGACAUUGUUGCGGGAAGUCAGGGACCCCAAACGGAGGGACCGGCUGAAGCCAUGGCAGAAGAACGUGGAUUUGAACAUUUCAUGGACAUUCAUUAGUUCCCCAAAUUAAUACUUUUAUAAUUUCUUAUGCCUGUCUUUACUGCAAUCUCCAAACAUAAAUUGUAAGAUUUCAUGGACACUUAUCACUUCCCCAAUCACUUCCCUUGUGAUUUCCUAUGCCUGUCUUUAAUCUCUUAAUCCUGUCAGCUGAGGAGGAUGUAUAUUGCCUCAGGACCCUGUAAUAAUUGCAUUAACUGCACAAAUUGUACAGCACGUGUUUGAGCAAUAUGAAAUCUGGGCACCUUGAAAAAAGAACAGGAUUUAACAGCAAUGUUUAGGAAACAAGACAGAUAACCUUAAACUCUGACCGCCCGGUGAGCCGGGUGGAACAGAGCCAUAUUUCUCUUCUUUCACAAGCAAAUGGGAGAAAUAUCACUGAAUUCUUUUUCUCAGUGAGCAACAUCCCUGAGAAAGAGAAUGCACACCUGGGGGUGGGUCUCUGAACUGGCCCCCCGGGCAUAGCCGUCUCUUAUGGUCAAGACUGCAGGGGUGAAACAGACCCCAGUCUUCCAUAGCGCUCCCAGGCUUAUCAGGAAGAGGAAAUUCCCGCCUAAUAAAUUUUGUUCAGACCGGUUGAUCUCAAAACCCUGUCUCCUGAUAAGAUGUUAUCAAUGACAAUGGUGCCCAAAACUUCAUUAGCAAUUUUAAUUUCGCCUCCGUCCUGUGAUCUCACCCUGCCUCCACUUGCCUUGUGAUAUUCUAUUACCUUGUAAAGUACUUGAUGUCUGUGACCCAUACCUAUUUGCACACUCCCUCCCCUUUUGAAAAUCCCUAAUAAAAACUAGCUGGAUUUUGCGGCUUGGGGGGCAUCACAGAAACUACCGACAUGUGAUGUCUCCUCCGGACGCACAGCUUUAAAAUUUC